rnacentral:rRNA from 1 species
AUUGAACGCUGGCGGCAUGCUUUACACAUGCAAGUCGAACGGCAGCGCGGGCUUCGGCCUGGCGGCGAGUGGCGAACGGGUGAGUAAUGCAUCGGAACGUGCCCAGUAGUGGGGGAUAGCCCGGCGAAAGCCGGAUUAAUACCGCAUACGACCUGAGGGUGAAAGCGGGGGACCGAAAGGCCUCGCGCUAUUGGAGCGGCCGAGGUCGGAUUAGCUAGUUGGUGGGGUAAAGGCUUACCAAGGCGACGAGCCGUAGCUGGUCUGAGAGGACGACCGGCCAAACUGGGACUGAGACACGGCCCAGACUCCUACGGGAGGCAGCAGUGGGGAAUUUUGGACAAUGGGGGCAACCCUGAUCCAGCCAUGCCGCGUGCGGGAAGAAGGCCUUCGGGUUGUAAACCGCUUUUGUUCGGGAAGAAAUACUCUGGGCUAAUACCCCGGGGGGAUGACGGUACCGGAAGAAUAAGCACCGGCUAACUACGUG